AUUCCUGUUUGUGAUCACCUGUGUCCUGUUAUUUCUGGAUAGUCUUUUGUAUUUAGUCCGAGUCUCAGUCUGCCUUCCCCAGAUCCGUCAUUGUAGUGUCCGUGGAUGUCUCUGCUUGUUCGUCUCUUGCCUAAUAAACCCCUGAUUACCCAACCUAACCAGCGGCCCAUAAAAUACUGGAUUAUGAAAACCAUUUUCCCAGGAUGCACAUGGAUAACUGUGCUGCUGUUAGAUGGAAAAUAUCUUUCAUGUUUAUUCACUUACUGGGAUGGAGAAUAUUUGCCCAUGGACACUAAUUCUGUGCAAAAGUGGUGCAAACCACAUGAUACAAAUAAAACAUCAAAUGAAGAAAAGCUGAAUUUCACUAAAGUAGGAUACAUAUGGUCUCAGAUUGCAGCCUUUGUCUUUUUUCUUGCCAUUUCGCUGGGAGCAUUCUUCUAUAAGAAUGAUGAUGAGAACUCCCAGUCCGAUGCAACAGUGCAAAGAGUUACUCUUACACGCAUGGAGCCAGUGAAAGUGAAAUACCAUCAAGAAGCAUCAACCAAACAACACACCAUUGAACUUAUGCGGGGAGAAAUUGACGAGCCAAGUGGCAACACACUGCUAAUGAGAGAACCUCUACAAGAAGAAACUGAAAUGAUCCAAGGAGAAUGAAGUAACAUUUUUGGUUAAUUCUGACCCAGCUUAUCAUUGCCUGUCCUCUUUGCUUUCCAGUUACUUAGUACUGUGCAUGAACAUGUGUAUUAGGAUGAACUCACGGAUGAUUACGUCGUCCAUGAUUCACCCAUAAUAUUAUUGUGCCAAGGUUGAACUGUAUAAACGUGUUUUUUUACUGAUUACUUGUAUAACUUGUUUGUCAUUAAUAACUUGUUCCUUAUAAAAGGGGCCAGGAUGCUUCCCUAGUCGUAAAAAAUCUUAUCCUGUUUAAAGACCCUCGUCCUGUUAUUUCUGAUUUACAGGAUGCUUAUGCUGUUGAUAAAUUGCUUACUUUGUUUUUAUAAGGGCUUCUUCCUGAAGAGGAGAAUAAGUGGUACCAUAUGUUGUACCUAGGAUUGACAUGUGAGAUGCUUAUCUUGUCCUCAAGGAAGAGGGAGGAUCGGUAUGCGGGACACUUAUCUUGUGUUUAGGAAACACAGGACCUUAUCUUGUUUAGGAGGGUUGGGGAGGCAUUGAGCAAGCAGCAUUACCUGUAUGGAAGUGGGAAUUGGAGAACGCAUUGCCUAAGGGGAGGGGUGAGCCUGGCCAGCUCGUCUCCUGCCAACACGCAGCACCCAAUUCAGUAUAAAGGGAGGGGGGAAAACUCAGUAUUGACUGGAGCUCAGCCGUGGGAUAGAGUGCGCAUCGCCCGGCACUUUCUCGGGACUCACGUG